rnacentral:rRNA from 1 species
GACGAACGCUGGCGGCGUGCUUAACACAUGCAAGUCGAACGAAGUGGCGAACGGGUGAGUAACGCGUAAUCAACCUGCCCUUCAGAGGGGGACAACAGUUGGAAACGACUGCUAAUACCGCAUACUGAAGAAGGGGAUUGCGUCGGAUUAGCUAGUUGGGGGGGUAACGGCCCACCAAGGGGAUGAUCAGUCGCCGGUCUUGAAGGAUGAACGGCCACAUUGGGACUGAGACACGGCCCAGACGCCUACGGGAGGCAGCAGUGGGGAAUCUUCCGAAAUGGAGGAAAGUCUGACGGAGCAAAGCCGCGGUAGUGAUGAAGGCCUUCGGGUUGGAAAGCUCUGUUAAUCGGGACGCGGUACCGGAAGAGAAAGCCACGGCUAACUACGUGCCAGCCGCCGCGGUAAUAC